CAUUAAUCCUCCACAGGCUGGCAUUCUCGCUGUUGGUCGGGGUAACAAGGUUGUGGUGCCUGUGAUGGACAAUGACGGAACAGAGAAGGCUGCUGUAGUAACAAAGAUGAUGCUGACACUGUCUGCUGAUCAUCGUAUAUUUGAUGGGCAAGUAGGAGGCAAGUUUUUCACGGAGCUGGCAUUGAACUUCAGCGACAUCAGGAGGCUGCUUUUGUAAAUGAAAGGUGCUGUGUUAUCGUGUUUCCAAGAAUUCUUUGGAGAAGGUGGCCCAAGAAAAGACACUAGGUGCAAAUUUAGUUUCAGUUGCUUGAUCACCAGCGCAUAAGAAGUAACCAGUUUUGUAAAUUAAUAAGAGAGUUGGCAACUCCACGGCGUUUUUUCCUCCUUAAUUUGGGAGCUGAUCCCCGAGAAGUUACGGCCAUUUCAUGUUUGAUGUGGUUACACAAACAUCAACUAUUGAGGCUGAGGUUUGUUGCCACGUUUCCUGAGGAUUUCUGUCAACAUAAGACGUUUUUGCCCAUGACUUAGAUACAUGGCUUGAUGACAGUAAUAAGUAAUGAUUCCUUCUACAAUAUUGAUAUGCAUACUUCUGAGCAUCUCAGAUUGUUUGUCAGUUU